UACACAGACAUGGAGACAGAAAGAGGAACAAUUAAAAAUUCAUAAGAAACUCUUUAAAAUAUCUGCUUGAUCAGGGUUCUGGUGGACCUGGGACUGAUUAGUCCCUGAUCUGGAUUACUUCUGAAGACAUGAGAAAGGUUGUGGAAGAAGAGAGCACACAGCUAGAGGGCUAGGCAUGUAUUUGUGAACACAACUCAAUGUCCUGAAUGUGCCUCUCUCCCAGGAGCACAGGGACUACUCUGCUGGGCAGGAGAACAAAUGAACUGAUGUUCCCAGGACUUCAAAAUUUGCCAUUCAGGGCACAUUCCCCUGGGAUUCAGGGUAUCCUCUAGCAGGAGCCACAACAUCAUCUGCUCACAGAAGGCAGUGUAGAAACGCAGCAUGCCUACAUGCUUCCUUCACGAUACCUCCUGUCAACUGUGUUGAACCAGUGCUGACAAGUCUCAUCACCCAAAGUCCACAGGUCAUGUCAAGGCUCACUUUUGGUGCUCUAAAAACCUCCUGAGAUUUAGAAUGACCAAGGACUCUUGGAUUCUCUGCUUAACCAUGAAGUAGAACCAGUUGGCCUGAAUUGUAAGAGCCUAGAAGGAGCAGGUGAGGCAACCUCUGUGACAUUCCUAGGCCUGAAUCUAUUGUGGAGGUCUCUGAUGCUCCAAAGGAAGGACAAGAUAAUCUAAAAAGUCAGGCAAUGUGUGUCUUGACAUGGCUUCAGAGAGCACAACCAUGCUGCGUCGACAUCGGGGACUUCGCCUGCCUCUGCUGGCUCUGGUAUAUAUAACAGAGAAGCAGCUUUGAUUGUAUGAAGCUAUUGAAAAAUGGAAAAGUCAAUCUGUUAUAACAGCUAACAACCUCUGACUGCUACCUGCGCAUAACAAUAGACUGAACCCUCGGAAAGUGUCAAUAGCUGUUAGAUAAUAUUAUUGAUAGGAACAAUGGGUUUCUGAAUUUGACAGACAGUUGGAGACUACGGAGGGGAGAGAAUAGGAGUCGAAUGGAUUGAUGUACAUCACUGUGUCUUUCACCAAUUCAUGAGACUUGAUGGAUGGAUCAGCAUUGGCUUAUGUUAUGCUUUCAAGAGCAUUGUUAUGAUCCCAAUGGUGCAUCUCAAAAACUAGAAGCCCUGCCUCCUCCCAGGGGAUGGAAUUGAGUCAUCUGAAGAAGAAUCUAUAGUGAGCUUCUCAGGAGGACCCAGGAAUGAGAUCCAAGUUAAAAAAGAAAAAAACAGUAUGUAAGGAAUCUGAGAAAGCCUGGCAGGUCCUCAGAUGUAUUCCUUAUCAACAUGAGAAAUUCAUUUUUCUGAAGAGAUUCACUUGAAUCCUGUACAUUGAAGAAAGCUCUGAUACAACACCAUGAUCGAAGGCAACAUAAUGAAGAGAGAGCUUGUUUUGGCUUAUGCUCCAAAGGUGAUAAAAAAAAAAUCCAUCAUGACAGAACAGUAGGACUGGUAUCCCGAAUCUCGAAG
rnacentral:sRNA from 1 species